rnacentral:rRNA from 1 species
GAGUGGCGCACGGGUGAGUAACGCGUGGAUAUCUGCCUUUUGGUUCGGAAUAACCCCGGGAAACUGGGGCUAAUACCGGAUGGUUCCUACGGGAUAAAGAUUUAUCGCCAAAAGAUGAGUCCGCGUACGAUUAGCUAGUUGGUGAGGUAAUGGCUCACCAAGGCGACGAUCGUUAGCUGGUCUGAGAGGACGAUCAGCCACACUGGGACUGAGACACGGCCCAGACUCCUACGGGAGGCAGCAGUGGGGAAUAUUGGACAAUGGGGGCAACCCUGAUCCAGCCAUGCCGCGUGAGUGAUGAAGGCCUUCGGGUUGUAAAGCUCUUUUGGCGGGGACGAUGAUGACGGUACCCGCAGAAUAAGCCCCGGCUAACUUCGUGCCAGCAGCCGCGGUAAGACGAAGGGGGCUAGCGUUGUUCGGAAUUACUGGGCGUAAAGCGCGUGUAGGCGGUUGCCCAAGUCGGGUGUGAAAGCCUUGAGCUCAACUCAAGAAAUGCACUCGGUACUGGGUGACUAGAGGACCGGAGAGGAUAGUGGAAUUCCCAGUGUAGUGGUGAAAUACGUAGAGAUUGGGAAGAACACCAGUGGCGAAGGCGGCUAUCUGGACGGUUUCUGACGCUAAGACGCGAAAGCGU